UCUUUCAACCUAUGUAUUUUCAUCCUAUAGUUUAUAUGUCGAUGUAAGUCGACUAUGGCGAUAAACAUAGUAUGGAAUAGGCAGAGCGGACCCGGGGGCGGUACCCGGCGCCUCCACCAUGAUGAGGAAAGAGUUGAUAAAAUUAACAGUUUUUUUGAUAUUAGACUGAAAUUUAAUCAACUAUUUUUUUGGGGGCGAAAUAGGAUCGACGCAUGUAGUAAAGAUAGUAUUUUCGCUCGGCAUGAUAUCCACCGUUAUCGGGUCAAUGUAGUAGUUGCAAAUGACAACACUGCUCCGGUUGCAAUGGCUGCAUAAUGCAGUUUGAGUAACCAAAAAUAAGUCCUGUCGGAUUGAGCUCUGGCAGGCGGGGUUAGAGGGUGCACCUGGCAACAGAAAGCCCCU
rnacentral:tmRNA from 1 species